AAGGAAUCUAGAGAAGUCUCUUUCUUUGGUCUGUUGGCCUUUCAGAACUUAGGAAAUGUAAUAGUCAAUUCAUUAGAAAGAAACAUCU
rnacentral:snoRNA from 1 species